rnacentral:lncRNA from 1 species
CGGAAACAUCAAUUGUUGAGAGGUACAUUGUAGAAGAAGCUAUUGAGUUUUGUUCUAACUAUUUGUCAAAAGUGGAUGCUAUAGCGGUUCCCAAUUCUGUCGUGAUGGAAGACGUGAAGGAAUGGGUAUACAAGGUUUAAAUGUCAAGAGCAUGAGUGCUCAGGUAAUUUUUCAGGAACAUUUGUAUAUAUUGAAUAACAUGAAUGAGGUUGAACCUUACUUAUCUGAUCACAAAAGCAUCGUAAAGAAAAAGUACCCAAACACAACCUCAACAGACACAUUUCAAAUUCAUUAAAUCACUAUGCCAAUUUUUCAUAUAUUAUAAUAACGCCUAGACACAACCUCAACAUAAUUCAAUCAAAACAAAAAAAUAAAUAGAAAACAAUAAAACAAAUAGCAUAAUACUAUUUAAAAUUUCAAAAUUCUAAUUUCUGCUAUAGUAACUUAUUGGCCUCUAGAGCUUACUCCAACGGUCAUCCAUUGUCACAUAAAUACAACAUAAACUAAUAAAAUGUAUUGGUUGGCAAUCCUUCAAUCAACUUAAAAAUCAGGCUAAACUCACAAUAACAUAAAAUUAAAAUCGAGAAUACAAAAUUUGGAGGACAUCCAAGUUGGACUUAAAACAAAUGACAAUUGCCUCAUUAAAAACCUUACCUUUAAAUCCUACAGGAGAAAUCAGGUGAAGGAAAAAAGAGUACAAUGC